rnacentral:rRNA from 1 species
GAUGAACGCUGGCGGCGUGCCUAAUACAUGCAAGUCGAGCGAACGGACGAGAAGCUUGCUUCUCUGAUGUUAGCGGCGGACGGGUGAGUAACACGUGGAUAACCUACCUAUAAGACUGGGAUAACUUCGGGAAACCGGAGCUAAUACCGGAUAAUAUUUUGAACCGCAUGGUUCAAAAGUGAAAGACGGUCUUGCUGUCACUUAUAGAUGGAUCCGCGCUGCAUUAGCUAGUUGGUAAGGUAACGGCUUACCAAGGCAACGAUGCAUAGCCGACCUGAGAGGGUGAUCGGCCACACUGGAACUGAGACACGGUCCAGACUCCUACGGGAGGCAGCAGUAGGGAAUCUUCCGCAAUGGGCGAAGGCCUGACGGAGCAACGCCGCGUGAGUGGUGAAGGUCUUCGGAUCGUAAAACUCUGUUAUUAGGGAAGAACAUAUGUGUAAGUAACUGUGCACAUCUUGACGGUACCUAAUCAGAAAGCCACGGCUAACUACGUG